rnacentral:rRNA from 1 species
GACGAACGCUGGCGGCGUGCUUAACACAUGCAAGUCGAACGGAAAGGCCCUGCUUGCCGGGUACUCGAGUGGCGAACGGGUGAGUAACACGUGGGUGAUCUGCCCUGCACUUCGGGAUAAGCCUGGGAAACUGGGUCCAAUACCGGAUAGGAGCCAUUUUUAGUGUGAUGGUUGGAAAGUUUUUUCGGUGUAGGAUGAGCUCGCGGCCUAUCAGCUUGUUGGUGGGGUAAUGGCCUACCAAGGCGGCGACGGGUAGCCGGCCUGAGAGGGUGGACGGCCACAUUGGGACUGAGAUACGGCCCAGACUCCUACGGGAGGCAGCAGUGGGGAAUAUUGCACAAUGGGCGCAAGCCUGAUGCAGCGACGCCGCGUGGGGGAUGACGGCCUUCGGGUUGUAAACUCCUUUCGCUAGGGACGAAGCUUUUUGUGACGGUACCUAGAGAAGAAGCACCGGCUAACUACGUG